rnacentral:ncRNA from 1 species
AUUAAUCCUAUGAGAAAGAGAGUAACUUUUUAUUAAGUUUCAGCGAGCUGGGGUUGGUGUGAGCCCAGUAACAAGAUAUAAAGUGAAAUAGAGCUUUGGAGGAGAUUGUCAGAAAUUAUUAGUAUGUCAAUCGGUGAUCUCGCCUUAAGAGAUUGAGUGGAUAAGUUUUUUCGUUGACGACAUGAGCGCAGAAUUUUAAGCAACGGAUUUGUCUGAAUCAGUAGCGAAGACAUAUCGUUGGCGACAUGAGCGUAGCGAAUUUUAUCAAUAAGAGUGGUAACGCGGAAUAAUUCGUCUCUUGG